GCCUAUUGCACUUAAACUCUCUUUUAUUAUCAUACAUCAUAUAAAUUCAUUUUCCUCCCCAAAUGAUAAACUUACGGACUGUCCCUCAUAAUACUUAUGAGUUCUUAACUAUUAGCAUUGCUUAUUAAACUCCAAUAUAUUUUUCCUGUGAGCAACUACUUUAUUAGUAUCUGCUUGAUUUUACAAGUAAAUUUGAUGUUGAUGCAAUGAAGAAGAGCUAGAGCUGGAGCUCAUUUCCUGAAGCACUUGCAUUCUGCACUUUACCUCUGCACAGUCUUUUCCUUACCCCAUAUGGAGAAAGCUGGCUGUGCAACUCCUCUCCUGUCUUCACUUAAAACAGUCAGGGAUUGCCAGGAGAAAGCCUGCUGGCUGCAAACAGUGAGGUGAGAUUUCAACUUUCCAGCAGUUAGAUGUACUUGUUUAAUAACCUUGCACACCAUGGCACUGUUUUUCAAUGUGCUUCCAUUAGGAGUAAAAUACAGGCUUUUAUUAUUUUUUUUUUAAUCUGCUUUUGUUAUUUAUAAAACCUUGGAGACUUAUCACUUCUCUAACUAGCAUAAGGUAGUCAUUUUCCUAAGUGAGGCACAAUCAAGGUCAGCCUCUCUUUUGUAAAACUAAGGCUAUGAUAGUUUGGGAAAUAAGAAUCAAGCUGUAACUAAAAGGUUGGUUGGUUGUUUUCCCCUUUAUUCAUUUUCCUGACCUAUUUAUUUAUUUAUUUUCAGGCCUAAUUCACUUUACUUUUCUUGUAUAAAACCCCCAUGUUGUAGCCACAGCUGGAGCCUGGGUCCUCUGCACGUAGACUCUGGUGUGGGUCUUGACGAGGUGGUCAGUGAAUUCCUGAUAGGGAGACUUGGUGAAUACAGUCUCCUUCCAGAGGUCGGGCGUCAGGUAGCUGUAGGUCUUAGAGAUGGCAUCAAAGGUGGUGGCUUUGGCAAGGUUGCCCAGGGUGGCAGUGCAGCCCCUGGCUGAGGUGUAGCAGUCAUCGAUACCAGCCAUCAUGACCAGCUUCUUGAGCACAGGCGCAGAGACGAUGCCAGUGCCCCUGGACACGGGGAUGAGGCGCACUAGCACGGAGCCGUCUGUCACCUUGCAAGGGACACUGUGGGGCUUGCCGAUCUUGUUCCCCCAGUAGCCUCUGCGCACGGGGACAAUGGAGAGUUUGGCCAGAAUGAUGGCCCCGAGAAUGGCAGUGACCACCUCCUUGGAGCACUUAACACCCAGAUCGACGUGGCUACUGUAGUCCCCGAUGGCAACAAACGCCUUGAACCUGGUGCGCUGGCCGGCGCGGGUCAGCUUCUGCACCGGCAUAAUCUUCAAAACCUCGUGCUUGAGAGAGGCCCCAGGAAAAAGUCAAUGAUCUCAGAUUCCUUGAUGGGCAGGGAGAAGAGAUAGAUCUCCUUCAGGGAUUUGAUCUUCAUGUCCUUGACCAGGCGGCCCAUCUUGGUGACGGGCAUCCACUCCUUAUCUUCGGCCUUGCCUCCGCUAGCUCCGCGGCCUCGGCCGGGUCCACGGCCGCGACCCUGGGCCCCGGAUGCUACUGACGAAACCUCCCCGGAAGUCACCGCUGUUCCCCAUCCCAGGGCCUCCGGAAUCCCGGACCCCGCCCCUGCACCGGCGUCAUCCGCCAUUUGGUGUUUUCUCGGAGUAGAACUUCCCGGCCUAUUUAUACAAGUGUGAUCAAUAGAUCUACAAGUGAUGAAACUUCAAUCAGAUAGGAGAGCUGCCAUGGAAGAAAACUCUUGGCAGGACAACACUGUAAAUGCAGAAAUGGAGCUCAAAGGAUUUUACUGAAACCCUGAAACAAUCAGAGCUUUUGUGGACAGCUUUUGCAAUGUUUUCUUGUGUUCUCACUAUCUAAAUGCUUCCAAAGACUGUCAACAUUUCAUUGUUAUUUUCUUUGUUGCAAAAGUAAUUUAUG
rnacentral:lncRNA from 1 species